CCAACUUCGGUUAUAAGAUCCCUCAAAGAUGAUGAGGUUAAUAGGUUCGAGGUGGAAGCAUAGUGAUAUGUGGAGCUGACGAAUACUAAUCGAUCGAAGACUUAAUCAAUUU
rnacentral:rRNA from 1 species